rnacentral:lncRNA from 1 species
GCUUUUGCUGCUCAGAAACGAGUUUAGCCUGUUUUACGCUAUAAUCCGGAACUGGUACCACGAACUCCUUCUUUCUCUUUGAAUUUGUCUUUAUCCCGAUUUGGGAAAUUUUGGAUUCUUACUGUUUGGCUGUUAAUCUUUUGUUACUGCAGUGAAAUGGUUGCAAUGGUGAAAACGUGAGGAGCUUCGGUGGUCAAUGGAUCUAAAGCAUGCUGAGUUCCAAGUGUGAGUGUGUUCUCUUUGGGUUGAGAAUCGGUGAGCUACCUCAGCACACAGCUGUUUCGGUAAAGGGGUUGACAACAUGGUAGUAUGAAGCAUUGAAGCAUUCAGGACAUUACCUUUCUCAUUCAGAACCGAUGAAGCGACCAAAUCAUCUUUGAAGAAGUUCAAACCAGCAUUAAACUUAGUUAAUUCGCCCGUUUUUGUGUCGUAAGAAAGAUCGUGACCGAGAGCAAUUACAUUAGUUCCAAAGACACCAGAGAGGUCGACAAUUGGGUUUGCUGUUGGUUUCAGUCCAAGAACCGAAUAAAUCAAACCUUCCAAUAUGAGGUAAGUUUCUACCGGUUCGUAAUUUCUUAAGUUCUUACUGGUUUGUAAUCCUUCCUAAGUUUCUACUGGUUUGGUAGGCUCAAGACAAGAACACAACAUCUUUUCUGAAGUCAACGGUUCAGGAUUUGUUUGCCUUUUUAAGAUUCAAGAAGCUUUUCUUAGGUUUAUACUCAUCGUCUUUUUCCAAAUCUGUUUCAGGUAGCGGUAUUGUAGCAGAAAUACUGCAGUUUGAAUCUCGGGCUGCGGCGGCUAGAGGAA